rnacentral:misc_RNA from 1 species
GAUGAAGAACGUAGCGAAAUGCGAUACGUAGUGUGAAUUGCAGAAUUCAGUGAAUCAUCGAAUCUUUGAACGCACAUUGCACCUCUCGGUAUUCCGGGAGGUAUGCCUGUUCGAGCGUCAUUUGUACCCUCAAGCUCUGCUUGGUAUUGGGUGUUUGUUCCGCCUCUGUGUGUGAACUCGCCUCAAAACAAUUGGCAGCCGGCGUACUUGUUUCGGAGCGCAGCACAUUUUGCGAUCCAGAUCAACGUACAGCGGCAUCCAAGAAGCCUUAUUUAACGCUCUUGACCUCGGAUCAGGUAGGGAUACCCGCUGAACUUAAGCAUAUCAAUAAGCGGAGGA